UUUCUAGAAACACUUGCUAUCUGAUAAAUACAAAUCCAAUGAUAAAACUUAACGAAAAUCUUACAACGUCUUAUCUCCCGAGGCAACGAGUCAUCGUUCCAUAAUUCGAGGCGGGAAUCGAUUACUGAAAGAGGCGGGCUUUCAUGUGAAACAGAGCUCCGUUUAGGUUUAAAUUACACGUCUUAAUUGCGUAAUAAGACAAGGAAGAAGAAUGAACAGUACAACAUUACUUCUAUAAUAUCGAAGAAUUUCGGACAAACAAAAUUACAGGAAUCAUACCGCAACCUCACUUACUAAGGCCAAUUACAUGGAUAUUUUAAUUAAUCCGGAAUCCCCUGCGCCUGGUCGCACACAGCCUACAUGACGGGUUAAUUACUCUCAUCGGCGGAAGCUGGCGUUUACGACGAUUGCUCAUCGUCAAUUUAUACUAAUUUGGUGAACGAACGCCAUAGAGGAACUCGAACGAUCCGCCAUGGAAAAAACAGGAAAAAAUAAUGAAACAAAGACAAAGAUAUCGAAACAAAUCCGAGGUUAAGCAAUCUUAGACAGAGAUAAACAACGAGGAGCUACCAAUCAGUUGCAACGUAAAUUCUUUUUUAUUCCAAAAAUUGAAUGGCAAGAGUCGACGAACCAGGUCGCCGAGCACCAGGACGGAUAACAGCGAUGCCAGCUCAGGGUGGCGAUUCGGCACAAUUCCUGGCAAAGUCUCCGGGAAUGUGUGUACGGCAGGAAGAAUAAAAACAGCAUACGAUAACGAGCCCGUGAGCCUGUCCGCGUGGGCGCGAGCGUAUAAAGUUCUUUCGCUUUCUCUCCCUCCUGACACAAGCGCAUUGUCUUCUGAGCGAGUCAAUGAUUCACAACGUAUCAGCAACCAUUAGACUCCCCGUAAAGACACUUAAAACUGGAUCAAUAACGCGCAAUCCGUUCGGGGUCAAGACAGGCUGGCUGUGAAUGGAGCCGGGCAUCAGGAAUACCGCGGGUAAUAGAAUCAGGAUGCGUGUGGAGGGGUGGCGGCCUUGAGCGAGCCGCGCACUUUCAUCCGCAUCAAUAGGCACGGAGCAGGGAACGGGAUGAAAUCCUAUAGGCAGCCCCCAGCCACCGUAGAGGCGUUACAUGUCAGGAGGAAUGUGGGCGCACCAGUUUCGAGAGUCAUUGAGAGAAGCGGGCCGCCUGUAUUCAGAUUUCUCUGUCUGCGGAGAAGCGCGGAAAGCGACACGUCGAUGAUCUUGACAAAUACCGUCGAUUCGCACGUUCAUGAUCACCCGUUCAUCUAACCCUUUCCGGUCGAAGGCCGGGUACAAGCCAGCGACGCACUUUUUCUAUUGAGAAUGACGGUCGGGUAUCGUUCAACUGUUCCAUCAACCGAGUGGCUUUUCUUUUGGAUAUUUUAACCCUUUGCACUUGAUUUAUUCUCAAUAUAGGGUGUAAACUUAUAUUUAGAUCUUUGAUACUGAAAGUACCGUACAGGUAAAAUGACUCAUUCCUGAUUCCUUUUUAAUGUUAAAGAGAUAUUUAAUAUCUGUGUGAUUAAUUGAAGUUUCAGUAUGGAAAUUCUCUCUUUUUGAGAACUAAGGUUCCCAAUCAAUCUAUUAUUUUGAUCGUGCUAUUAGCAAAUGUGACUGCAAAAGCUUCGAGAGCAACAAGCUUUAUUUUAACUUUAACACUGAAACUACCACUCAAAAUGAUUUAUUCCUGAUUCCUUUUUGAUGUUAAAGUUGAAAGCUUGUUGAUUUUAGAGCCUUUGCAGUCACGUUUGCUAAUAGUACAAUCAAAACAGUGA